rnacentral:rRNA from 1 species
CCCUACGGGGUGCAGCAGGCGCGAAAACUUUACAAUGCAGGAAACUGUGAUAAGGGAACCCCGAGUGCCUGUAUGGACAGGCUGUUCAGGUGCGCAAAAAACACUUGGAGAAAGGGCCGGGCAAGACCGGUGCCAGCCGCCGCGGUAAUACCGGCGGCUCGAGUGGUGGCCACUAUUACUGGGCUUAAAGCGUCCGUAGCUGGGUAGUUAAGUCUCUGGGGAAAUCUUCCGGCUUAACCGUAAGGCGUCUCAGAGAUACUGGCUACCUUGGGAUCGG